GGAAAUCAGAUGAGUAAACGAGAAACGUUUAACGAGACGUUUUUAAAAGCUGCGCGGGGAGAAAAAGCGGAU
rnacentral:tRNA from 1 species